rnacentral:rRNA from 1 species
GAUGAACGCUAGCGGCAGGCCUAAUACAUGCAAGUCGAACGGUGUCUUCGGACAUAGUGGCGCACGGGUGCGUAACACGUAUGCAACCUACCUUACAUUGGGGGAUAGCCUUUCGAAAGGGAGAUUAAUACCGCAUAAGACAGUAGCUGGGCAUCCAGCAGCUGUUAAAGAUUUAUCGAUGUAAGCUGGGCAUGCGUCCAAUUAGCUAGUUGGUGAGGUAACGGCUCACCAAGGCAAUGAUUGGUAGGGGAACUGAGAGGUCAAUCCCCCACACUGGCACUGAGAUACGGGCCAGACUCCUACGGGAGGCAGCAGUAGGGAAUAUUGGGCAAUGGACGCAAGUCUGACCCAGCCAUGCCGCGUGCAGGAUGAAGGCGUUAUGCGUUGUAAACUGCUUUUAUACAGGAAGAAACGACCCUUGCGAGAGGCAUUGACGGUACUGUAUGAAUAAGCACCGGCUAACUCCGUG